UAUGAUAGAGGAAAGCAGAAUUUCUAGUGUAGAGGUGAAAUUCGUAGAUAUUAGAAAGAAUACCAAUUGCGAAGGCAGCUUUCUGGAUCAUUACUGACACUGAGGAACGAAAGCAUGGGUAGCGAAGAGGAUUAGAUACCCUCGUAGUCCAUGCCGUAAACGAUGUGUGUUAGACGUUGGAAAUUUAUUUUCAGUGUCGCAGCGAAAGCGAUAAACACACCGCCUGGGGAGUACGACCGCAAGGUUAAAACUCAAAUGAAUUGACGGGGACCCGCACAAGUAGUGGAGCAUGUGGUUUAAUUCGAAGAUACGCGCAGAACCUUACCAACACUUGACAUGUUCGUCGCGACUCUAAGAGAUUAGAGUUUUCGGUUCGGCCGGACGAAACACAGGUGCUGCAUGGCUGUCGUCAGCUCGUGUCGUGAGAUGUUGGGUUAAGUCCCGCAACGAGCGCAACCCUCACUUUUAGUUGCCAUCAUUAAGUUGGGCACUCUGAAAGAACUGCCAGUGAUAAGCUGGAGGAAGGUGGGGAUGACGUCAAGUCCUCAUGGCCCUUACGUGUUGGGCUACACACGUGCUACAAUGGUAUCUACAACAGGAAGCAAGACUGCGAAGUUAAGCAAAUCCCUAAAAGAUACCUCAGUUCGGAUUGCACUCUGCAACUCGAGUGCAUGAAGCUGGAAUUACUAGUAAUCGUGGAUCAGCGUGCCACGGUGAAUGCGUUCCCGGGUCUUGUACACACCGCCCGUCACACCAUGGGAGUUGGUUCUACCUUAAGGCAAGGUUUAAAACCCUUGACCACGGUAUAGUCAGCGACUGGGGUGAAGUCGUAACAAGGUAGCCGUAGGGGAACCUGCGGCUG
rnacentral:rRNA from 1 species